UGUGGGGAUUUAUCCUGGCUGGAUUCAUCUGGUUCUCAAUACCCAAUGUCAUGGCAACAACAACCGGAAUGGCCUACCUUGCGCUCAGUUCUGAAAACGGGUCCCAUUUCUUGGAUUCUUUUCAGAUAGAUGAAGGCUUAGUGACGCCGCUGAUCGCUGAGAAAAUUCUCGGGUCAGCAGGUGGUAUCCUCAUCUUGACCAUGGGGGCCAUGGCACUUAUGUCCACUGGGUCCGGAGAGGUGAUGGGCCUUUCAUCAGUUAUCGUUUACGACAUCUUUCAAACUUACAUUCGACCGUUCAG
rnacentral:sRNA from 1 species